rnacentral:lncRNA from 1 species
AGAAGUGGGAACUGCUCUCAAGGAGACUCAUUUGCUUUUUUUUUUUUUUUUUUCAGUGCAACAAAAGGAAAAUGAUGACAGGCCACCUCUUGGUACCCAGUUUGAAUUAGAAAAUUCAUCAUGCUCCUUGUCGAGAGUUCAAUUCUCUCACAUUGAAUUGAAUAAACAUUCUCAAUGAAAGCCAGAAAGACACAGAUAAAAUUCAGAUGUCUUUAAAAAGAAACUUUACACAGGGGAUCGAAGAGGAUAGGCUCUCCAAAGUCUCACACAUUGACUUAUGCAAGGUUGUUUGUGUUGUGCCAAGAAAUAAGGCGUGUGGCCUCAGCGCCGCAUGAUGACUGAAGCCCUAUGGUCACAAACUUAAGAGAGUUAUCUCUUAGGAAUGUGGUGAUAAAUAAGCCGUUAUGAUAUUAACCAAGGAAACAGUUUGUAUGCACAUCCAUUAAAGGAAUUACUAGAGUUAUUCAAUUUUAAAUCCUUAUUAAUCUUUUUAUAUCUUGGGUAAUACCAAUUCCCUAAAGUAUGCUAUUUAAAGCUAAGGGAAAAUGCAUCCUCAAGGACCUAUUGCCAGCAAAGAAGCUGUUUUCAACAUCUGGGAAUAAAAAUCACCACCAAAUAUAGAUCAUUGGGUCAACUUGCUUUGGGAAAUGGUGAAAUUCAAAAACCUAGAACCAAAGACCUUCAGGCCUUCCCUGAGUAGGAAAAGAAAAACUACAGAAGAAAGGAAUGAAAAGGAACAUAAGGCCAUCAGGAGAGAAUUGAAUAAGUAGUCAACUCUAAGGUCAAGAAUAAUGAACUACUCUGCUACCCCCUGAAGAAGGGUAGAAUAAAGUAAAGGAAAACCAAGAUGAGACUUAUCUUCCUGCCAUAAACAACUAGGAAACUGGACAAAAUAUUUGAAACAACUGUUUGCAGAUAUUGGACAACCAUCAUUCCAGGACUAUUAUCUUGAUAUUCAGAGAAGGUCAACAAAUGUGGCUCUCUUCCAAGAGUCUCAAUGCAUUAGCCAAGGAGCAAUUUACUCUAUUUCCUUCUUCCACCACCGUUUUCCAGAGUCCUCAAUCCCAGAUGCUGGUUCUAAAAAAUAAUGCAGUGAGAACUGAAUUCCCUGGAGAGUGGUCAGCACCUUCUAGAAUAAGGGCUUAUGAAGAGUCAUGA